rnacentral:rRNA from 1 species
AAUCAACGCUGGCGGCGUGCCUAACACAUGCAAGUCGAACGGUGAACGAGGGAGCUUGCUCCCUCCGGAUCAGUGGCGAACGGGUGAGUAACACGUGAGCAAUCUGCCCUGGACUCUGGGAUAAGCGUUGGAAACGACGUCUAAUACCGGAUACGAGACGCGAAGGCAUCUUCAGCGUCUGGAAAGAACUUCGGUCCAGGAUGAGCUCGCGGCCUAUCAGGUAGUUGGUGAGGUAAUGGCUCACCAAGCCUACGACGGGUAGCCGGCCUGAGAGGGUGACCGGCCACACUGGGACUGAGACACGGCCCAGACUCCUACGGGAGGCAGCAGUGGGGAAUAUUGCACAAUGGGCGCAAGCCUGAUGCAGCAACGCCGCGUGAGGGACGACGGCCUUCGGGUUGUAAACCUCUUUUAGCAGGGAAGAAGCGAAAGUGACGGUACCUGCAGAAAAAGCACCGGCUAACUACGUGCCAGCCGCCGCAGUAACAC